rnacentral:lncRNA from 1 species
UCUUGAUGGAUUUCUGCAUGACAAUAUAUGGCAGCUAUUCAAAGGUACCAGAUUGGCUGGAGUCGAUAAGGCAGCUUCUUCUCAGUGGUCCAGAGAACUUACAUUCAAGUGCAAUUACAAUGAUUUGAAGCCAGAUUACUUCAAUCUCAGGACUGGUUUAUAUGGACAGGAGGAGACGCUCAGUGCUAUUACAAGCUAUGGAACAAUUGACAUUGAAGAGGUGAAAAUUGGUCUCUCCAGAACAAUAGCUACAGUAUCAGAAGCUACACGUUUCCCAUCCCUAUCACGGCACAUUAUGUUUGGGUUUAACAGUGGCGAAAAUGUGCCAGUUGAUGAUAUUGAGCAACUAGAGGGUCAACCAGGUUGGAAGUCUUUCAGUUAUAUCGUCACAAACUGGAAGAUUAACUGCAAACGGGUUUUGCGUGGACAGGAAAAGUUCACACCGGUGCCAGGCUUUCCCACAUACGAGAGUGUUGUGGAUCACAUAGGAGUUUCUUUAUGCAUUACUGAGCUCGACUAAAGAGGUACAGAACUAACUGAACAUUUGCUGAAAAGGGCAGCCUCACUUCUCAACUUUUUGUGUUUUAUAAAACUAAUGUGUGUCUUAGAGAGCGCUAUGAGUUUAAGAUAAUUAUAAUUAGAAAAGGAGAGUAGGUCAUGAUUUAGUUGUACUGGAGUCAGACUUAAGAAUACAUGUCGAUCAAACCUAUUAUAACUGGUAGCCUAUUGUGUUUCUUUUGAAUCAAUGAGAAAACUGCCUUUUCAAAUGCAGUAUGCUACUGUAUGAUAAAACUAUUUUAGGUAGUUUCUGCAGUGCAGUUCUAUCAAUAGCAUUGUCACUAUUAUUACAUUUUCAAUCUCUAACUUUAUAAACUAUUCAUUUUCAAGUCAGGUUUUUACCAAACACUGUAGCAAAAAUAUAUUUAAAGACCAUGCCAGAUGGGGGAACUUUCAAUAAGAAGUUUUAUCCCUUUGAUCAAUAUCUCAAUAUUUUUCCAUUAGUUUCUACUGUGCCUAGUUGUUUGAAAGGUUGUUAGAUUAAUUAUAACGCCCCUAGUUGGUCCGAGCUAGGCUCGACCUGUCGACCAAACCUAUUAUGAGCGGUAGCAGAUUGUGUUUCUUUCAAAUCAAUAUGAGACUCGCCUUCUCAGAUGCAACAUGCUACUAUAUGAUAAAAUCAUCAUAGAGAUUUUCUACAAGACAGCUCUAUCAGUUUACAACUAAUUAUUAUAUUUCAAUCUCUAAAUUUGUAAACUGUUUUUGUUUCACAUCUAGAGGUCAUUUUCUGUCCUUUUAUUCUUUUAAUAAUAUAAUUUCUCAAGUAUGUGUGUGUGUUUGUUCUCACUUGUGCUUACCUCUGUAGUAUCCCAAUUAAUCAUCUAAUGAUCCUUUUCAGCAUAAAUUUUUUGUUGUUGAAUUCUGACUUCAAGUUCUGGCUUGCAGGGAAGGGCACAAUUCCGACGUCUACCAAGAAUGGAUGCCAAAAAAAAAAACUUAACUCAAGCCUUAGUAGUCAAGUAAGUUUGGGUGAGGGUUUUACAUUGAUUUUUCUUUCCUGACUUUGUUUUGUAACAUGGGGAAAAAAUCUAAAGAUUGUAAGCAACUGAAAUGAUUUUCCAGUUUUCUUUUGAUGAAUGCUGACCGUAUGAUCUGUGCUUGCAGGGAACCAUGUCACAUUGUUUGCUGCCUGCGAGAGACAGAGAGAGAGAGGAAGUAAGAAAUUGAACAAACGAGAACAAAAAUCAGAACAGAAUGCUCUGGGCGCCUUUUUCCCAUUCAUUUCAUCUUCUAUGUCCAUUGAUGAUCCUUGUGGACACUGAAGUGGCCAUUGUCUCCGGUAGAGAUAGGGCGACGACGAUAUGGACGGAUUGGGCACUCUCAUAU